GUAGGAUAAGCUAAGCACACUGUUGGUUAUGUGUGCCCAAGCAUUGAGGCAGUCAAAGUAGGCAAAUCCGCUUUGAUAAUGCUGGGAUGUGAUGGGGAGCGAAAUUUAGUAGCGAAGUAGCUGAUUUCACACUGUCAAGAAAAGUCUCUAUCGAGGUUAAAGGUACCCGUACCGCAAACCGACACAGGUGGGUGAGGAGAGUAUCCUAAGGCCAGCGAGAGAACUGUUGUUAAGGAACUCGGCAAAAUGACCCCGUAACUUAGGGAUAAGGGGUGCCACCAUCAGGUGGCCGCAGAGAAUAGGCCCAAGCGACUGUUUACCAAAAACAUAGGUUUCUGCUAAGUCGCAAGACGAUGUAUAGGAGCUGACGCCUGCCCGGUGCUGGAAGGUUAAGGGGAUCUGUUAGAGCAAUCGAAGCAGUGAACUUAAGCCCCAGUAAACGGCGGCCGUAACUAUAACGGUCCUAAGGUAGCGAAAUUCCUUGUCGGGUAAGUUCCGACCCGCACGAAAGGCGUAACGAUUUGGGCACUGUCUCAACAACAGACUCGGUGAAAUUGUAAUUCCGGUGAAGAUGCCGGAUACCUGCGACAGGACGGAAAGACCCCAUGGAGCUU
rnacentral:rRNA from 1 species